rnacentral:rRNA from 1 species
AACGAACGCUGGCGGCAUGCCUAACACAUGCAAGUCUAACGAGACCUUCGGGUCUAGUGGCGCACGGGUGCGUAACGCGUGGGAACCUGCCCUUAGGUUCGGAAUAACUCCCCGAAAGGGGUGCUAAUACCGGAUAAUGUCUUCGGACCAAAGAUUUAUCGCCUUUUGAUGGGCCCGCGUUGGAUUAGCUAGUUGGUAGGGUAAAAGCCUACCAAGGCGACGAUCCAUAGCUGGUCUGAGAGGAUGAUCAGCCACACUGGGACUGAGACACGGCCCAGACUCCUACGGGAGGCAGCAGUGGGGAAUAUUGGACAAUGGGCGAAAGCCUGAUCCAGCAAUGCCGCGUGAGUGAUGAAGGCCUUAGGGUUGUAAAGCUCUUUUACCCGGGAUGAUAAUGACAGUACCGGGAGAAUAAGCUCCGGCUAACUCCGUG